AGAGUUUGAUCAUGGCUCAGGAUGAACGCUGGCGGCGUGCUUAAUACAUGCAAGUCGAACGAAGCAUCUUCGGAUGCUUAGUGGCGAACGGGUGAGUAACACGUAGAUAACCUACCUUUAACUCGAGGAUAACUCCGGGAAACUGGAGCUAAUACUGGAUAGGAUGUGUGCAUGAAAAAAACACAUUUAAAGAUUUAUCGGUUUAAGAGGGGUCUGCGGCGCAUUAGUUAGUUGGUGGGGUAAAAGCCUACCAAGACGAUGAUGCGUAGCCGGACUGAGAGGUCUACCGGCCACAUUGGGACUGAGAACGGCCCAAACUCCUACGGGAGGCAGCAGUAGGGAAUUUUCGGCAAUGGGGGAAACCCUGACCGAGCAACGCCGCGUGAACGACGAAGUACUUCGGUAUGUAAAGUUCUUUUAUAUGGGAAGAAAAAUUAAAAAUUGACGGUACCAUAUGAAUAAGCCCCGGCUAACUAUGUGCCAGCAGCCGCGGUAAUACAUAGGGGGGCGAGCGUUAUCCGGAUUUACUGGGCGUAAAGGGUGCGUAGGUGGUUAUAAAAGUUUGUGGUGUAAGUGCAGUGCUUAACGCUGUGAGGCUAUGAAAACUAUAUAACUAGAGUGAGACAGAGGCAAGUGGAAUUCCAUGUGUAGCGGUAAAAUGCGUAAAUAUAUGGAGGAACACCAGUGGCGAAGGCGGCUUGCUGGGUCUAUACUGACACUGAUGCACGAAAGCGUGGGGAGCAAACAGGAUUAGAUACCCUAGUAGUCC
rnacentral:rRNA from 1 species